ACUAUAACUUUGCGGUGACAACCUUGAUUGAAUGUGUAGGAUAGGUGGGAGGUGGCGACAAUGUUGCCACCAGUCUUGAAAUACCACUCUUUCGUCGAAGGAUGUCUAACUGCCAAAAAAAAGGCGGGACACUGCAUGGUGGGUAGUUUUUCUGGGGCGAAGCCUCCUAAAGAGUAAGGGAGGUUUGCG
rnacentral:ncRNA from 1 species